AGAACUAAUAUUUUGAUUUGCGGAAUGAAGGGGUAACGCCCUGAAACGCAUACCUAAAACUCCGAUAUGCGAAAAGUCGUGUAAUAGACUUGACGUAUAAAGCUCGGGGAAGUCGGCAGAGGUUUACCCAAACAAUGCUACGGCAGUUGUGGAAAGUUGCUCGGGAGAGUGAUGUAGAUUAUAUGUCGGGGUUCUAUAA
rnacentral:ncRNA from 1 species